rnacentral:lncRNA from 1 species
CCCCAUAGAUCCCCCCCUAUAACCAUUCUGGCCCCAUAGAGACCCCCCAGCUCCCUCCUGCCCCAUAGAUCCCCCCAUAGACUCCCCCUAUAACCCUCCUGCCCCCCCCCCAGGCCCCACCCGGGACCCGUCCCGUCGGCAGAGGGAGCAGCAGAGACGCCGGGAGUUGGAAGCGAAGAGGGCGGAGAGAAGGGGGGGGUCGCGGGGGGGACCCCCCAAAUUGGGGACAAGGAAACAAGACUGAAACCGGGAGGGGGGGAUAUGGACCUAAAUAAAGGUAUAUGGGGAACUACAAAUCCCAGCGUGCCUUGUGUGGCGCGGUUUGAUGACGUCAUAGCAGUGCGGUUGGUGGUCACGUGAGGGAAAAUGGCGGCGCGCGGCGGCGGGAGGAGGAAGCGGAGGGAUGAGGACCCUCGUGUGCGGCUGUCGAAGGCGCUGAGCUUCUUCCUGCGGCACGGAGCGCGAGAUGCGGGGCUGCACAUGGCCGACGAUGGUUUUGUGGAGGUGGGGGCCCUCCUGAAGCUUCCUGCCUUUGCCGGGGUGUCAGUGGAGGAGCUGAGGGAUGUGGUGGAUUCCGACCCCAAAGGGCGCUUUGCUCUGCGUCCCAACCCGCUCAGCGUCAGAGCCAACCAGGG